CCACGGGGGAAAGAAAAUGCGAGCCGACGAGAGCCAUUGCUAGCCCACGUUCGUGCUGCCAUGACACAACGUGGUCACGUGGUCUUGGACGGUAGCGUCGGCGGCGUAUGCUAUGGCGGCGUUGGCUUGCAUCCGUAGCUCUAGUAAUUGCGAGUGUUCGUCGCUUGUGCUUGUACUGCAAUGUACGCGUCGGUCAGAUUUCGCGACGACGACGCGCGAGAUGUCGUUAGCAUCGGAGAUAUAAAAAAUUUCAGCUCUCAAAGCAUUUCAGACUACCAAAGCAACAGGUGGUACAAAGUGCACUGGAAGGACGACCAUCAAAGUGGCUUUUCUUCGAGCGCAGAUUCUGCGGUUGUUUGAGACAAAAGCGGCUGCACAUCAACCGACAAGGCGGGUCCCACUUCCUCCACGCCCGUCGGACAGUGAGGACAGCGAAAUGUCAAUGUCCAGCGCGGAUUCAUUGGACGAGUUUUUUUCAGGCACUACCUUGAGAAGCGGUGCAGCAGUGAAGAUGACAUAACAAGGAGGCACAACAUGCUCGGAAAGAUUGCGGAUCUGAUGAAGUAAUUUUGUAAAUAUUAUUUGUAAAUAAAUACAUGCCUACUUU